GACGAACGCUGGCGGCGUGCUUAACACAUGCAAGUCGAACGGAAAGGCCCUGCCUUUGUGGGCUGCUCUAGUGGCGAACGGGGGAGUAACACGUGAGUAACCUGCCCUUGACUUUGGGAUAACUUAAGGAAACUGGGGCUAAUACCGGAUAGGAGCUACCGCUGCAUGGUGGGGGUUGGAAAGUUUCGGCGGUUGGGGAUGGACUCGCGGCUGAUCAGCUUGUUGGUUGGGUAGUGGCUUACCAAGGCUUUGACGGGUAGCCGGCCUGAGAGGGUGACCGGCCACGUUGGGGCUGAGAUACGGCCCAGACUCGUACGGGAGGCAGCAGUGGGGAGUAUUAUACAGUGGGCUGGAGCCAGAUGCAACAACGCCGCGUGCGGGAUGACAGCCUGCGGGUAGUAAACCGCUUCCGCCUGUGACGAAGCGUGAGUGACGGUAAUGGGUGAAGAAGCACCGGCUAACUACGUG
rnacentral:rRNA from 1 species